rnacentral:rRNA from 1 species
CGGCGAGUGAAGCGGGAACAGCUCAAAUUUGAAAUCUCCGUUGCUUGCAACGGCGAAUUGUAGUUUCGAGAAGCACUUUCUAGGCGGAUCGGCCCUGUCUAAGUUGCUUGGAACAGCACGUCAGAGAGGGUGACAACCCCGUCCGUGACGGGUCCGGCCGCUCACGAUGUGUUUUCGAAGAGUCGGGUUGUUUGGGAAUGCAGCCCAAAAUGGGUGGUAAACUCCAUCUAAAGCUAAAUAUAGGCACGAGACCGAUAGCGAACAAGUACCGUGAGGGAAAGAUGAAAAGAACUUUGAAAAGAGAGUUAAAAAGUACGUGAAACCGUUGAAAGGGAAACGAAUGGAGUUAGCAAUGCACUCUGCAAGAUUCAGCCGGUGGGUGGCUCGGACGGGCGGUUGGCGGAUCCGAAUGGACCGCCGUCGUCUGGCUCUUGUCCCCCUCCGUCGCACUUCUUGCGAGUGCGCGUCAACGUCGGUUCGGACCCGGUUUUAAGGCUCGCGGGAAGGUAGGUCGGACGCUCCGGCGGCCCUUCUGUUACAGCCCGCGUUCCCAUGACCGGGACCGGACCGAGGCGUCGCAGCGCAUGCCUCUUCUGGCUAGGGUCCCUUCGCGCCGGUCGGUCGUCGACCGUGGUGGACUGCGUGCAGUGCACCCGAACCGCUGCCGGUCGCCGCGGAGGUGACUUCGUACAAUGCGCUCAGGASGUUGGCGGUCAUAUGGCUUCAUCCGACCCGUCUUGAAACACGGACCAAGGAGUCUAGCCUGUGCGCGAGUCUUAGGGUGACGGAAACCCAGAGGCGCAAUGAAAGUGAAAGCGGCCUGGCCGCCGAGGUGAGAACCUCUCCUCCGGGGGAGGCGCAUCAUUGACCGAUCUAUUCUACUCUUAGGAAGAUUGAGUAAGAGC